GAAGGUAUAGCUCAGUGGUAGAGUGUUUGCUUAGCAUGCACGAGGUCCUGGGUUCAAUCCCCAGUACCUCCA
rnacentral:tRNA from 1 species